CCCUAGAAAGGAUUGCUUCUUGGGAAGUCUCUUUGAGAGGUUUGUCAGCAGGGAAAAGGUACCUGCGGCAGCUGCUUUGCAGGUCCCCUGCUGUGCAAAUCGCCCUUCACAGAGGAAGAUCUUCCUGUCAGGGACUGACAAGAGGUGCCAGGAGCAGGCUACGAGACUUUUGAAACCUGGCUUUAUGAAGGAAGCUGGAGGCAGUUCUCAUUAGUCUCACUGACAUCUUUUAUCACUUAUCAGAGGAACAAGCAAACGGAGAGCAAUUCCUUUGAUCAUGGCAAAAGUAGAAAG